rnacentral:rRNA from 1 species
GAUGAACGCUGGCGGCGUGCCUAAUACAUGCAAGUCGAGCGAACGGACGAGAAGCUUGCUUCUCUGAUGUUAGCGGCGGACGGGUGAGUAACACGUGGAUAACCUACCUAUAAGACUGGGAUAACUUCGGGAAACCGGAGCUAAUACCGGAUAAUAUUUUGAACCGCAUGGUUCAAAAGUGAAAGACGGUCUUGCUGUCACUUAUAGAUGGAUCCGCGCUGCAUUAGCUAGUUGGUAAGGUAACGGCUUACCAAGGCAACGAUGCAUAGCCGACCUGAGAGGGUGAUCGGCCACACUGGAACUGAGACACGGUCCAGACUCCGACGGGAGGCAGCAGUAGGGAAUCUUCCGCAAUGGGCGAAAGCCUGACGGAGCAACGCCGCGUGAGUGAUGAAGGUCUUCUGAUCGUAAAACUCUGUUAUUAGGGAAGAACAUAUGUGUAAGUAACUGUGCACAUCUUGACGGUACCUAAUCAGAAAGCCACGGCUAACUACGUG